UGGAAUCACGGCAUCAUGGUACACUGAAAUGCGUGUUUUACUGGGUUUUUUUUUUUACUGCAUUACUAGGUAUCACAUACAUACAAAAAGAGACAAAAGAUAGAAAAUUAUUAUUCUGUUUCUAAUUAUAAGGUAUGACAAGUUUUCUAAAUGCUGACAAAAAAGGUAUGGUGGCCAAUACUCAUUUUAUUUGCAAUUUCCUUUCAGAUAUUGGACCUGAUUAUUCAGAAAACUGCAGAUUUUAGGAAGCUGUUUUUGACAGAAGAUUUAGUUUUUUCCAUCUGUAUUGCCACCAACCAUUAUGCUGAGAUGGUCAUAUCUAGGGGGAAAGAUUGUCAUUAUACUUCCCAAGGAAGUUCGCAUCCUCUCACUGAAGAGGAAUUGUACAGAUUUUCGUGCAUCAUCUUAUACAUGUUUGCUGUGAAGUUCCAGUCGAUAGACAGAUAUUGGUCAAUGCAUGCCCCUUUCGGAACAACCCAGUACAGUGUAUCAGGAAUGAUGUCUAGAAAUAAGUUUUAAGAGGUUGAAUAGAAGAACAUUUUUGUUAAAUAUGAUGCAAGUACAUUUAAAUCUAGUGAUUGAAAGUAAGUACUUUAACAUUCGUAUACGUUGAACUUACAGAGGAAAAACGGGUAGUACUUUUUGAUAACAUUUGAUAACGUGCUGUAACUGCUGUUGCUUAGCAACCAAAUAUAUUUGAAUCCAAAAAAUUAAAUUA